CUAUUCUACUGCCAAAUACAGGGAGAUAGAGUUAUCGGCUUCAAUGUACUCCACUGUAGUCAGGGAGGUAAAAUCUGCCAUCUUUGAUCUGCUUCGCUGCCAAAUACAGGAAGGCAAGAUCUGCAAUCUUCAAUCUAUUCCACUGCCAACCAGGGAGAUAGAGUUGUCGGUUUCAAUGUACUCCACUGUAGUCACAGGGAGGUAAAAUCCGCCAUCUUCGAUCUGCUUCGCUGCCAAAUACAGGAAGGCAAGAUCUGCAAUCUUCAAUCUAUUCCACUGCCAAAUACAGGGAGAUAGAGUUGUCGGUUUCAAUGUACUCCACUGUAGUCACAGGGAGGUAAAAUCUGCCAUCUUUGAUCUGCUUCGCUGCCAAAUACAGGAAGGCAAGAUCUGCAAUCUUCAAUCUAUUCCACUGCCAAAUACAGGGAGAUAGAAUUAUCGG
rnacentral:lncRNA from 1 species